UACGUAGGGGGCUAGCGUUGUCCGGAAUCAUUGGGCGCAAAGCGCGUGUAGGCGGUCCGGUAAGUCCGCUGUGAAAGUCGAGGGCUCAACCCUCGAAUGCCGGUGGAUACUGUCGGGCUUGAGUACGGGAGAGGCGAGUGGAAUUCCUGGUGUAGCGGUGAAAUGCGCAGAUAUCAGGAGGAACACCGAUUGCGAAGGCAGCUCGCUGGAACGUUACUGACGCUGAGACGCGAAAGCGUGGGGAGCAAACAGG
rnacentral:rRNA from 1 species